UACGUAGGUGGCAAGCGUUGUCCGGAUUUACUGGGCGUAAAGAGCGCGCAGGCGGUCGUUCAAGUCGCGUGUGAAAGCCCCCGGCUCAACUGGGGAGGGUCACGCGAUACUGAUCGACUCGAAGGCAGGAGAGGGAAGUGGAAUUCCCGGUGUAGUGGUGAAAUGCGUAGAUAUCGGGAGGAACACCAGUGGCGAAGGCGACUUCCUGGCCUGUUCUUGACGCUGAGGCGCGAAAGCUAGGGAAGCAAACGGG
rnacentral:rRNA from 1 species